GUGGGGAAUCUUCCGCAAUGGACGAAAGUCUGACGGAGCAACGCCGCGUGAGUGAUGAAGGUCUUCGGAUUGUAAAGCUCUGUUAAUCGGGACGAAAGAGCCUAGUGUGAAUAAUGCUAGGAAGUGACGGUACCGGAAUAGAAAGCCACGGCUAACUACGUGCCAGCAGCCGCGGUACUACGUAGGUGGCAAGCGUUGUCCGGAAUUAUUGGGCGUAAAGCGCGCGCAGGCGGAUCUGCCAGUCUGUCUUAAAAUUUCGGGGCUUAACCCCGUGAUGGGAUGGAAACUACAGAGCUAGAGUAUCGGAGAGGAAAGUGGAAGUCCUAGUGUAGCGGUGAAAUGCGUAGAUAUUAGGAAGAACACCAGUGGCGAAGGCGACUUUCUGGACGAAAACUGACGCUGAGGCGCGAAAGCCAGGGGAGCGAACGGGAUUAGAUACCCCGGUAGUCC
rnacentral:rRNA from 1 species